rnacentral:lncRNA from 1 species
AAAGCUCUGGGACUUCGAUCUAUCUCUAGCUCGGGCAUUAAGCGGGCGGAGGGGAGUCCGGGCUCCGGCGGAAAGCCCAAGAAGCCCGUAACUGUAGGGGAGCUUAUGAGGGUUCAAAUGAAGGUCUCUGAGAGUGUUGAUUCCAGAAUUCGUAGAGCCCUUUUGAGAAUUGCUGCUGGCCAGGUACCUCACUUAGCAAUAUAGUGUGUGUGUGUGUGUGUGUGUAAUCAUAUACUCUAUUUAUGCAUAAUAAUGUAAAUUCUUGAUAAACUUUCCUUAGCAAUAGUGUGUGUGUGUGUGUAAUCAUAUGCUCUAUUUAUGCAUAAUAAUGUAAAUUCUUGAUAAAGUUUUUUUUUGGUGGGUUGCAUUUUACAAGUAUGAUAUCUGAGUGAAUUAUCACUAGUUUGUGUUUUUUGGGGUAUAUAAAUGGUAAUUUUCCUCUAAAGUUUGCAUUUUUGUUAGGUAGGUUUGAUUUUGAAAGUUUGAUCUGUUAGGGAUUAGCUCUAGUUUUUGCACUUUUAUGAAAUUUUUUGGGUAGAUUAGUGUUAAUUCUUGAUAAAGUCUUCAUCUUUUGGUGGUGUUGCAUUUUACAAGUUUGAUUAUCUGAGUGAAUUAUCACUAGUUUGUGCAGUCUUGUCUGUUUUUUACGGUGUAUAAAUGGUAAUUCUUGGUAAAGUUUGCAUUUUUAGGUGGGUUGAAUUUUACAAGUUUGAUCUGUUAGGGAAUAAGCACCAGUUUUUGCAUUUAAAAAGAACACAUUUUUGGGUAUAUUAAUGUUAAUUCUUGAUAAAAUUUAUAUAUUUUGGUGGGUUGCAAAUUACAGGUCGGAUCUUUUAGGAAAAUUGCUCAAUUUAUGGUAUUAACUGCUACUUUAUUGCUGCCUUUAAGAAAGCAAUUUUAUUCUGGUGAGGCGAAUUCCAAGUGUCAUAUCGGUAAUUUUGGUACUAAUUUUCUGGGGUUAGAGCUUUAAACUGGAUAAUGCCAUGUUCAAUUUGAACUUAGGUACUUUUUGGGGAUAAAUUUUCCUUUCUGUUUCUGGAGGAUUGGAUUAAAAUGAAUCCAUGUAGUUCUUUCUGAGUUUCAAAAUUUCCCUCUAUAUACAACUUCGGGGGCUUCUUUCCUUGUGUAUGAGUAC